CCUGAUGGAGCGACACCGCGUGAGGGACGAAGGUCCUAGGAUUGUAAACCUCUAAAAGGGGGACGAUAAUGACGGUACCCCUUGAAAAGCACCGGCUAACUCCGUGCCAGCAGCCGCGGUAAUACGGAGGGUGCGAGCGUUAUCCGGAAUCACUGGGCGUAAAGGGCGCGUAGGCGGUUUGUUAAGUCCGAUGUUAAAGACCGAGGCUCAACCUCGACACGGCGUUGGAUACUGACAAGCUUGACGGCUGGAGAGGCGAGUGGAAUUACCAGUGUAGCGGUGGAAUGCGUAGAUACUGGUAGGAACACCCAUUGCGAAGGCAGCUCGCUGGACAGCACGUGACGCUGAGGCGCGAAAGUGUGGGGAGCAAACCGGAUUAGAUACCCGGGUAGUCCACACCCUAAACGAUGCACACUUGGUGUCGGCCCGUUGGGGUCGGCGCCGGAACUAACGCGUUAAGUGUGCCGCCUGGGAAGUACGGCCGCAAGGUUGAAGCUCAAAGGAAUUGACGGGGACCUGCACAAGCGGUGGAGCAUG
rnacentral:rRNA from 1 species